UCCACGCCCUAAACGAUGAACACUAGUCGUCGGGAUGCUAGUCAUCUCGGUGAUGCACUUAACAGAUUAAGUGUUCCGCCUGGGGAGUACGGUCGCAAGAUUAAAACUCAAAGGAAUAGACGGGGACCCGCACAAGUGGUGGGGUCCCCGUCUAUUCCUUUGAGUUUUAAUUCGAAAAUACGCGAAGAACCUUACCUAGCCUUGACAUUGAAGAAACACACUAGAGAUAGAGU
rnacentral:rRNA from 1 species